GCGAAGGUGGCGGAAUUGGCAGACGCGCCGGAUUCAGGUUCCGGUGGGGUAACUCUCGUAGGGGUUCAAGUCCCCUCCUUCGCA
rnacentral:tRNA from 1 species